CAUUGCUUCAAAUUAUUCCUCAUACUUGGAGUAUUUAUACCAUGGAAAUCUGUAAAUGCUAAAAGCAAAAUAAAGGACACUUUUUUUUUGUUUCUAGAAAGCCAAUUGUUGAAUAUUUGCCAGCACAUCACUCCAAAUAACAUUUGUCUAUUACACCUCACUUGUUGGAAGUGUGAAUGCAGGUGGCUGCUGCUGGAUAUGGGAGCCUCUCAUACCAUGACCCAAACACCCCUCAUCCUCACCAGCUCUGACAUGAGCAGAAAGACAACUGUGGCUUAGCCUGGCCAACUGAAUGCUGCCGUAGGACUUGGGACUCUUAGAUGAGAAAUACAAAGAUAGAAAGAAUGGUUGAAACAUUGUAUAUGUGCUCUUUAAACAGGGGUAAGCUGAACACAGUAAGGAAGAUUUAGAGCAGCUGGUAACAAUGAACUAUAUCCUCUCCUUUAGAGCCUAGAAGACACUAAGAUGGUACAAUAAUUAUUGGGGAAUUCAACAUCUCCAACUCAAUGUGUCCAAGAGCAAACCUGAGGACUUUCCACAAGUGCCUCCUCAUCUUUCGUUGUUUUCUACUUUAAUAAACUCAUUAGACCAAAAAUGUAUGGGUCACUUCCUUUACUCACUCACCUUUGA